rnacentral:rRNA from 1 species
CUGCUGGCUCUCUAGGGAGCAUGUGCACACCUUGUCAUCUUUAUAUCUCCACCUGUGCACCUUUUGUAGACCUUUCAGGUCUCUGUUGCUUUUUCAUUUACCCCAAUGUAUGUUAAUAGAAUGUUGUGCCUAUAAAAUCUAUACAACUUUCAGCAACGGAUCUCUUGGCUCUCGCAUCGAUGAAGAACGCAGCGAAAUGCGAUAAGUAAUGUGAAUUGCAGAAUUCAGUGAAUCAUCGAAUCUUUGAACGCACCUUGCGCUCCUUGGUAUUCCGAGGAGCAUGCCUGUUUGAGUGUCAUUAAUAUAUAUAUCAACCUUCUCUUGUAGAGUGGUUUGGAUGUGGGGGUUUGCUGGGCCUCUUAAGAGGUUCAGCUCCCCUGAAAUGCAUUAGCGGAACAAACCUUGUUCAUUGGCGUGAUAACUAUCUAUGCUAUGAAAGCAAGGGGGAAGUUCAG